rnacentral:rRNA from 1 species
AGAGCGAACGCUGGCGGCAGGCUUAACACAUGCAAGUCGAGCGGGCGUAGCAAUACGUCAGCGGCAGACGGGUGAGUAACGCGUGGGAACGUACCUUUUGGUUCGGAACAACCCAGGGAAACUUGGGCUAAUACCGGAUAAGCCCUUACGGGGAAAGAUUUAUCGCCAAAAGAUCGGCCCGCGUCUGAUUAGCUAGUUGGUGAGGUAACGGCUCACCAAGGCGACGAUCAGUAGCUGGUCUGAGAGGAUGACCAGCCACAUUGGGACUGAGACACGGCCCAAACUCCUACGGGAGGCAGCAGUGGGGAAUAUUGGACAAUGGGCGCAAGCCUGAUCCAGCCAUGCCGCGUGAGUGAUGAAGGCCCUAGGGUUGUAAAGCUCUUUGUGCGGGAAGAUAAUGACGGUACCGCAAGAAUAAGCCCGGCUAACUUCGUGCCAGCAGCCGC